rnacentral:rRNA from 1 species
CCCUUAGAUGUUCUGGGCAGCACGUGCGCUACAAUGGUCUUCGCAAACGGAUGCAUUCUCGAAGGAGGAUGCCAAUCUUGGAAUCUAUGCCUUGGUCGGGACAGUUGCUUGCAAUUUUUCGACUCGAACCAGGAAUUCCUUGUAAUCGUGAUUCAUCACAUCACGAUGAAUACGUCCCUGCCCUUUGUACACACCGCCCGUCGCUCCUACCGAUCGAAGAGUUAGGUGAAUUGUUUUGAUCGAUAAGAUUUGACUAUGGUCAACUCUCGUUGUGAAAUUCUGUGAAUCUGACUGUUUAGAGGAAGGAAAAGUCGUAACA